AGUCAUGUAGCUAAGGUGGAAAAGCUUUUGACUUGUGUUCAAGGGGUAGCAGGUUCGAACCCUCCCCGGGCCCA